rnacentral:rRNA from 1 species
GGACCAGUAUGAAUGGCCCAAUGAGGACUUAACCUGUCUCCUACGCCAAAUCAAUGAAACUGAUCUUCCGGUACAAAAGCCGGAAUAGUUACAUAAGACGAGAAGACCCUGUGGAGCUUCAAACUAACAAUUACAAAUACUAAUCAUCCGUUUUAAGUUGGGGCAACUUUGGAAAUAAUACAACUUCCAAGAUAAGCAGGCACAAACCUGAACUAAGGUCAACACACCAAAGGAAAACUUUCGACCCAGUAAUACUGACCAACGAACCAAGUUACCCCAGGGAUAACAGCGCUAUCUUCCAUCAGAGUUCAUAUCGACAGGAAGGAUUACGACCUCGAUGUUGGAUCAGGGCACCCAAGUGGUGCAGCCGCCACUAACGGUUCGUUUGUUCAACGAUUAAAGCCCUACGUGAUCUGAGUU